rnacentral:rRNA from 1 species
GAUGAACGCUGGCGGCGUGCCUAAUACAUGCAAGUCGAGCGAACAGACGAGGAGCUUGCUCCUCUGACGUUAGCGGCGGACGGGUGAGUAACACGUGGAUAACCUACCUCUAAGACUGGGAUAACUUCGGGAAACCGGAUCUAAUACCGGAUAAUAUAUUGAACCGCAUGGUUCAAUAGUGAAAGACGGUUUUGCUGUCACUUAUGGAUGGAUCCGCGCCGCAUUAGCUAGUUGGUAAGGUAACGGCUUACCAAGGCGACGAUGCGUAGCCGACCUGAGAGGGUGAUCGGCCACACUGGAACUGAGACACGGUCCAGACUCCUACGGGAGGCAGCAGUAGGGAAUCUUCCGCAAUGGGCGAAAGCCUGACGGAGCAACGCCGCGUGAGUGAUGAAGGUCUUCGGAUCGUAAAACUCUGUUAUUAGGGAAGAACAAAUGUGUAAGUAACUAUGCACGUCUUGACGGUACCUAAUCAGAAAGCCACGGCUAACUACGUG